rnacentral:rRNA from 1 species
CCUACGGGAGGCAGCAGUGGGGAAUUUUGGACAAUGGGCGCAAGCCUGAUCCAGCAAUGCCGCGUGCAGGAUGAAGGCCUUCGGGUUGUAAACUGCUUUUGUACGGAACGAAACGGGUCUACCCUAAUACGGUGGGCUAAUGACGGUACCGUAAGAAUAAGCACCGGCUAACUACGUGCCAGCAGCCGCGGUAAUACGUAGGGUGCGAGCGUUAAUCGGAAUUACUGGGGCGUAAAGCGUGCGCAGGCGGUUAUAUAAGACAGAUGUGAAAUCCCCCGGGCUCAACCUGGGACCUGCAUUUGUGACUGUAUAGCUAGAGUACGGUAGAGGGGGAUGGAAUUCCGCGUGUAGCAGUGAAAUGCGUAGAUAUGCGGAGGAACACCGAUGGCGAAGGCAAUCCCCUGGACCUGUACUGACGCUCAUGCACGAAAGCGUGGGGAGCAAACAGGAUUAGAUACCCUGGUAGUCCACGCCCUAAACGAUGUCAACUGGGUUGUUGGGUCUUCACUGACUCAGUAACGAAGCUAACGCGUGAAGUUGACCGCCUGGGGAGUACGGCCGCAAGGUUGAACUCAAAGGAAUUGACGGGGACCCACACAAGCGGGUGGAUGAUGUGGUUUAAUUCGAUGCAACGCGAAAAACCUUACCCCACCUUUGACAUGUGCGGAAGUCGCUAGAGAUAGCUUCGUGCUCAAAAGAGAGCCGUAACACAGGUGCUGCAUGGCUGUCGUCAGCUCGUGUCGUGAGAUGUUGGGUUAAGUCCCGCAACGAGCGCAACCCUUGUCAUUAGUUGCUACAUUUAGUUGGGCACUCUAAUGAGACUGCCGGUGACAAGCCGGAGGAAGGUGGGGAUGACGUCAAGUCCUCAUGGCCCUUAUAGGUGGGGCUACACACGUCAUACAAUGGCUGGUACAAAGGGUUGCCAACCCGCGAGGGGGAGCUAAUCCCAUAAAGCCAGUCGUAGUCCGGAUCGUAGUCUGCAACUCGACUACGUGAAGUCGGAAUCGCUAGUAAUCGUGGAUCAGAAUGUCACGGUGAAUACGUUCCCGGGUCUUGUACACACCGCCCGU